rnacentral:rRNA from 1 species
CCACCCUUGUAGUGUUGAUGUUCUAACGUCGACCCCUAAUCGGGGUUGCGGACAGUGCCUGGUGGGUAGUUUGACUGGGGCGGUCUCCUCCCAAAGAGUAACGGAGGAGCACGAAGGUGGGCUAAUCACGGUUGGACAUCGUGAGGUUAGUGCAAUGGCAUAAGCCCGCUUGACUGCGAGAAUGACAAUUCGAGCAGGUGCGAAAGCAGGUCAUAGUGAUCCGGUGGUUCUGAAUGGAAGGGCCAUCGCUCAACGGAUAAAAGGUACUCCGGGGAUAACAGGCUGAUACCGCCCAAGAGUUCAUAUCGACGGCGGUGUUUGGCACCUCGAUGUCGGCUCAUCACAUCCUGGGGCUGAAGUCGGUCCCAAGGGUAUGGCUGUUCGCCAUUUAAAGUGGUACGCGAGCUGGGUUUAGAACGUCGUGAGACAGUUCGGUCCCUAUCUGCCGUGGGCGUUGGAAGAUUGAAGGGGGCUGCUCCUAGUACGAGAGGACCGGAGUGGACGAACCUCUGGUGUUCGGGUUGUGUCGCCAGACGCAUUGCCCGGUAGCUAAGUUCGGAAUCGAUAACCGCUGAAAGCAUCUAAGCGGGAAGCGAGCCCUGAGAUGAGUCUUCCCUGAUACUUUAAGUAUCCUAAAGGGUUGUCGGAGACUACGACGUUGAUAGGUCAGGUGUGUAAGUGCUGUGAGGCAUUGAGCUAACUGAUACUAAUUGCCCGUGAGGCUUAACCAUACAACAC